UGUUGUAUGCAGCAGGCGGCUUAUAAGUGUUGUAUGCAGCAGGCGGCUUAUAUUGCAGCAGCUUCUGGCUGAGUCUCCAGCUCCCAACUCCCUGCAGAGGCACAGGGACUCACGCACGACUGCUUCUGGUUUUCUAUGUUCUCUCAGCAAAUCUGAAGUAUUGGUUACAGACCCAGGCUUUUGCCUGCCACUUCAAGGUGCAGAGUGGUGAGUGCCACUACAAAGAACAAAUAUGUGAUGGAGAGUCUUUAUAAGCUGGCCCUGAGAAAUGUCCAGUGCACAGCUUUCAUUUGUGCAGCCUGAGUUGUCACCCUGGUCUAUCAGUCUUGGAGUGUGCAUUCAAUAAACCAUCCCUGUUUAACUGAGA
rnacentral:lncRNA from 1 species